GGAAGGUGCACUUGGCAAU
rnacentral:rRNA from 1 species